rnacentral:RNase_P_RNA from 1 species
GUAAACUGAGCAAUUGCGGGGGCGCUUUUUGCGCCCGUGAGGAAAGUCCGAGCAUCACACAGCAGGGUAACGGCUAACAGCCGCCGAGGGCGACCUUAGGGAAAGUGCAUAGAAAUAUACCGCCAUAAGUUUUAUGGUAAGGGUGGAAAGGCGAGGUAAGAGCUCACCGGGAUGCAGGUAACUGUAUUGCCGAGUAAACCCUACCCGAUGCAACAUCGACCGAAGUUGUCAGCUGGGCAAAUACUUCGAAGGAUGGCUUGAGCGCGUCGGCAACGGCGCGCGUAGAUAGAUAAUUGCUUUCAACGACAGAACUCGGCUUACAGGUUUACUCA